GGUUAUGGCUCAGAGGUAGAGCACUCACCUAGCAUGUGCAAGGCCCUGAGUUCGAUCCUCGGCACCA
rnacentral:tRNA from 1 species